CCCUCGCGAAAACCCUUCUGUAAGGUCUCUUCCUCUUCGUCGUCUUCGUCUUCAACCUCAUGAGGGGAAACGACGAUCUCGAUCUCCGCCCAUGGCGCCCGCGCCCUGGCCCCUACCUCGGCGAGAUCUCCGCCCUCUCCCUCCUCCCUCUCCCCUCCAACCUCUCCUCCUUCCCCCUCCUUCUCGCAGGAUCGGGGUCGCAGCUCCUUGUUUACGCGGUGGAGUCGGGGAGUCUCCUCAAUUCGUUUCAAGUAUUUGAGGGGGUUCGUGUGCACGGAAUCGCGCCUCGGUUCCUUCGAUCGACGGAGUUGUUGCCUUUCUCGGUGGCGGUGUUCGGUGAGCGGAGGGUUAAGCUCUUUGCGCUGCGUGUCGGGGCUGGGGAUGGUGGUGCGGUCGCCUCGGUGGGGCUGGAGUUGCUAGGGAGGUUGCCGGGGUUUGAUCACUGGGUUCUCGACGUGCGCUUCUUGGAGGAAGACGAGCUACUCGCCGUUGGACUAAGUGAUAAUUCCGUGGCUCUAUGGGAUCUUAAAGCGUGUUCUCUUGGUUCCCGAGUAAAAUCCCCAGAUAGAUGUCUUUUGUUCUCGAUGAGGAUGUGUGGGAAUAGCAUUGGAUCUCUUCUCGUGGCAUCGGGUACCAUUUUUAAUGAGAUACUUAUUUGGAAGUUAAUUCCUCAAGUCUUGCUUUCAUCGUCAACUUCUGUGGUUGAGACUGGCAAUCCAAGCAUUGCUUGCAAUACAAAUAUUCAUUCUCAUCAAGAAUACAUGGCCAUUCAUUUGAGUAGGCUUAUAGGGCAUGAAGGUUCAAUCUUUCGAAUAGCGUGGUCUACUGAUGGAUCAAAAUUAAUGUCUGUUUCUGAUGACCGCUGUGCUCGAAUCUGGAUGCUGAGUGGCGGAACACGAGAUUGUAGUGAGUUGGAGAAGAUUCCGGGUAUUCGUGUUGUUACACAACUUUCACUUUUUGGACAUAAUGCGAGAAUAUGGGACUGCUACAUCUCUGAUUCUACAGUUAUUACAGCUGGAGAGGACUGUACUUGUCGUGUCUGGGGAAUGGAGGGAAAACAAAUUAUGAUGUUCAAGGAACACAUUGGAAGAGGGAUAUGGCGAUGUUCAUAUGAUCCCAGCUCUUCCCUCCUUAUUACUGCUGGAUUUGAUUCUGCGAUAAAGGUACAUCAGCUUUGUUCAUCUUCAACUAAGGAGAAAGCAGAAAAUAAUGUGAUGCCAAACGAAUUUGGGCAUCUUACAGAACUAUUCACAAUUUCCCCUCCUAAAGUAUCGAAACAGCUCACAGAUAGCAAAACUGAAUAUGUGAGAGCCAUACAUUUUACACGAGAAGAUACACUUUUUGUUGCCACCAACAACGGCCACCUGUAUUGCUGUAAGUUCUCUAGUUCUUUGGAUGUAAGGUGGACUCAACUUGUCCAAGUAAGUGAAGAGGCACCAAUCAUUUGUAUGGACAUAAUUGCAAUAAACUCAAGUUUAUCUUUGCAUAUGGACGAUAUUAUUGCCCUUGGAGAUGGUAAAGGGAAAGUGACAAUUCUCCUGCUUAUAAAUGGUGGCUCUACACCCAAAAUGAAUAUGUGCUUUACUUGGUCGGCUGAAAAAGAGAGACAACUACUUGGAGUUUUCUGGUGCAAGUCACUGGGUUGCAGCCAUCUUUUCACUGCUGAUCCAAGAGGAGUUCUCAAGUUAUGGAGUUUAAGGGAUGCUUUACAGUCUGAUGCUUAUGAUACCGCUAGAAGUCCUGAGGUGCCUCUCGUUGCAAUAUUUGAGUCAUGUUUUGGGGCGCGAAUUAUGUGUAUAGAUGCAUCAGCCAAAGAGGAGAUAAUGGUAUGUGGUGACAAGAGAGGUAAUGUUACUGUCUUUCCCUUGAUGGAGGGCUUGAUAUCGUCUGAUUGCUGUGAUUUAUUGGAGAAGAUUUCUCCACUAGAUAGUUUUAAAGGUGCUCACGGGAUUUCCAGUGUGACCAGCAUUUGUGUUGGUGUCCCAAAUUUUAGCCAUGUUGAAAUAUUCACGACGGGAGGAGAUGGCUGUAUCUGUUUCUUUAAGUAUGACAAAGAUGUUCAAAAAGUGGAAUUUGUUGGGAUGAAGCAAGUGAAAGAGUUGAGUACAAUUCAAUCAGUCCUUCCUAUCUCUAUCUGCACAGAAGAUUUGGGUAAUUAUGCAAUUGGUUUCACAUCCACAGAUUUUAUCAUGUGGGACCUUUCAAAUGAAACUAAGAUAGUUCAAAUUCCUUGUGGCGGAUGGCGUCGACCUUAUUCUUAUUAUCUUGGAAUAGUACCUGAAUAUCAAAAUUGUUUUGCCUACCUGAAGGAUCACACUGUUCAUAUUCAAAGACUCUGGAUGCCAGCUCCUGAAAGAAAGAUGUUUCCCCAAAUUUUGCAUAUGCAAUUUCAUGGAAGGGAAAUACACUCUUUAUGUUUUAUUGCUCUUAAAUGUGAAUUAAAUUUGAAGGAAAGCCCCCACAUGUGGAUUGCAACAGGGUGUGAAGAUGGAACUGUUCGAUUAACCAGGUACUCAUCUGAAGGCUGGAUUGAAUCUAAAUUGCUUGGGGAACAUGUUGGUGGAUCAGCUGUUCGGUCCUUAUGCUUCAUACCAAAAAUCUAUGCGUACAAAGAUCAAUCCAACCGUUCUUAUGACAAAUAUACAAAUCCUCUUCUUGAUAGCAAAGACAACCAUUUCAUACUUAUUUCUGUUGGUUCUAAGCAAGUUUUAACAUCCUGGAUUUUACGAAAUAUAUCAUCAGACUUCGGAUCUGAGCAUAUGUCUUCAUCUAUAUCUUUUCAAUGGCUUUCUACUUACAUGCCACCAAAAUCCAGCAAUAAGUGGAAAAUUGAAAAGUUGAUAACAGAGAUGUCUGAAAAGAGGAAUUUGUCGACGUCUGCUCAAAUAUCCAAGGCAUUUCCAACAGAUACAGGAGAAGAAAAAGUGAGUUCCAUGAUCUUGGAUCAAAUUGAAAAUGACUGGAGAUAUCUGGCUGUCACUGCUUUUGUUUUAAAACAUGCUGAUAGCAGGUUAACAGUAUGCUUUGUUGUGGUUUCUUGUUCAGAUGCUACACUUAUUUUGCGAGCUCUUCUUUUGCCGUAUCGGCUUUGGUUUGAUGUUGCUUUAUUGGUUCCACAGAGGUCCCCGGUUCUAGCUCUGCAGCAUUUGGUUGUUUCUGGAUAUUCUGAUUGUACAGAUGAUAUUUUGAUUGGAAGUACGUAUAUGAUCAUAAGUGGCUCAACAGAUGGGAGCAUUACUUUCUGGGAUCUCACUGAAACUGUUAAGAAUUUCAUGCAAGAAGUUUUAGAAAUUCACCCAGAAACGAUGAUUGAUUAUCAAAGGCGUCCCCGAACAGGAAGAGGAAGCCAGGGGGGCCGGUGGUGGAGAUCUUUGCCAAACCGAUCCUUGGAAAAAAGAGUUUUAGAUACUUCCGCCCAAAAGAAAAUUAUGAAUUCUAACAAUAUUAAAGAUGCGGAUGAGACUGUAUAUGAGAAAUCUUCUGCAUAUGAUAGUACUUCUGUAAGCAUGCAUGAAAGCCUUACCAGAAGCUCAGCACCCAAUCUAGUCGAAGUGAAACCGUUGUUUGUUUUGAACUCUGUUCACCAGUCAGGUGUCAACUGCUUACAUGCUUCAAAGAUGAAGGAUUUUGUGCAUUCAGAACCCGAAAAAAACGAAAAUGCUUACUGUAUUGUAAGUGGCGGGGACGAUCAAGCAUUGAACUGUUUUUGGUUCACUAUUGAAGGAGCUAUGAAAUCCGAUUCUAGCCAAAUUGAAACAGAUGAUAUUAGACCAUCAUUUCAGGAUAAGACAGCUCCUAGCAUUGUGAAAUGUUCUCUUCUUGGUUCGUCUAGUGACUGUAAGCUUAGCAUUCUUCAUCAAGAUAAAAUUGCAGCAGCUCAUAGCUCAGCAGUGAAAGGUAUUUGGACAGAUGGUCGAUGGGCUUUCUCGACUGGUCUUGAUCAGCGAAUCAGAUGUUGGCGAGUUGAGCAUGGUAAAUUAAAAGAGCAUGCUCACCUGAUUAUUAGUGUGCCUGAGCCAGAAACCCUAGAUGCUCUAAUUUGCGACAGCAUGAAGAGCAAAUACCAAAUCGCAGUUGCUGGGAGGGGCAUGCAAAUGGUUGAGUUCUCUUCAUCAUAGAGUAGAUUUGAUGUAUUAUUGAAUCGAAAUUUCAGGUGUUUUUUCUUCCUGACACCUCAAAGAGGACUUAAUGGUUAUUAACUUAUUAUCGAUUUGACACCGGUGAAAGUUCACUCUAAUGCUGAUGACCAGCGCCUAGGAUUCUAUUAAAGACAUUUGUGUAUGUUUGCUUCUCCAGAUGCCGCAGGUGAAAUUAUGUUUCUUGUCUGAAAGCUCAGUGGGGCAGCUUGAGAGGUACAUCUCCUCAUAAAUAUUUCUUCCUUUGGAAGUAUUUGCUGGUUUCCUCAAUGCAAAUGUGGUGUGAAAUCUUGUGUUGUUGACCAAUUCCUAGUCCUAAUCCACCGUUUAUUUCGGGGUUUGCUUUAGUUAGUGACUGAAUCACAUAGCCUGUUUCCAUCUCUUUGAGAACAUUGGAUGCCUAGUUACCGAGUUUUUCGAGGCAAUCCAGUUAGGUUUCUUAAGAGACUGGAUUAGACUAGGGUGGCAUAAAGUUAGUGCUUAGUUAAGAGAGGCAUAUACUAUCGUUAUACUAGUCUAUAUUGAGAUUUGGACCUAAUUUUUUGGUACGUAAAAAGUGAGAAAAUUUCCUCUUUUUCCCUGUUUUGGAAAGUUGUUGGGAGUUGUUGAUACUUUGUCAUUAAGUGUGAUGAUGCAGUUACUUUCCUUUGGUUUCUUCCUCAUUAUAUUAAUCUAAAUUACUAUCAGAAAAUCCGCGAUAUGAGAUUGAUUUUCUUUGGAUUGAAAGUAGGUUUUGAUCAAGAUUGGCAUUUCCCCGUUUCUUGAGUUGUUUGAUUGUAUAUAGCUGUUGUUGCACUAAAGAUCUAAGUUUAUUGUUUGAAUUACUGCAUCAGCAUUAUAUAGUUUGUGUAUCUCUUCUAAUUUAAGUAAUUGCUUUAUAAGCUGUACCAUCAGAGGUGGCGAAAAUAUGUAGGGAUAUGGACCAUUCAAAUCAUAUCUUAAUCAAGCGUGUUGUUAUUA